rnacentral:rRNA from 1 species
UUAAUGGUCCAUAGGUUUUUAGAGUAAAUUAAAGGGCGCUCCCGAAAGGGGGCGUUGCGCAUAGAUGGGAGUAUGUCCUAUUAGAUAGUUGGUGGGGUAAAGGCCUACCAAGUCGGCGAUGGGUAGCUGGGCUGAGAGGUCGUACAGCCGCAAUGGGAUUGAGAUAUGGCCCAUAUUCCUACGGGAAGCAGCAGUGGGGAAUUUUUCACAAUGGACGAAAGUCUGAUGGAGCAAUACCACGUGAGCGAUGAAUGUCUUCUGAUUGUAAAGCUCUUUUAUUUAGGAUAAAAAGCAUGAUAGUAAAUGAUUAUGCCUUGAUCGUACUAAAUGAAUAAGUGACAGCUAACUAUGUGCCAGCAGCUGCGGUAACACAUAGGUCACAAGCAUUAUCCGGAUUUAUUGGGCGUAAAGAAAGCGUAGGCGGAGAGUUUGAUCUAGUGUUAAAUGCACCUGCUCAACAGGUGCAUGCAUUAGAAAUCAGCUAUCUAGAAUUAGUUAGAGGGUACUGGAAUUCAAUGUGGAGUGGUGGAAUACGUACAUAUAUUGAGGAACACCAGAGGCUAAGGCGAGUACCUGGGACAUAAUUGACGCUAAGGCUUGAAAGCGUGGGGAGCAAAUGGGAUUAGAUACCCC